rnacentral:rRNA from 1 species
UACGUAGGGUGCAAGCGUUAAUCGGAAUUACUGGGCGUAAAGCGUGCGCAGGCGGUUAUGCAAGACCGAGGGGAAAUCCCCGGGCUCAACCUGGGAACUGCCUUUGUGACUGCAUGGCUAGAGUACGGUAGAGGGGGAUGGAAUUCCGCGUGUAGCAGUGAAAUGCGUAGAUAUGCGGAGGAACACCGAUGGCGAAGGCAAUCCCCUGGACCUGUACUGACGCUCAUGCACGAAAGCGUGGGGAGCAAACAGG